CCUACGGGAGGCAGCAGUGGGGAAUCUUGCGCAAUGGGCGAAAGCCUGACGCAGCAACGCCGCGUGCGGGAAGAAGGCCUUCGGGUUGUAAACCGCUUUCAGCAGGAACGAAAAUGACGGUACCUGCAGAAGAAGGUGCGGCCAACUAUGUGCCAGCAGCCGCGGUGAUACAUAGGCACCAAGCGUUGUCCGGAUUUAUUGGGCGUAAAGAGCUCGUAGGCGGUUCAGUCAGUCGGGUGUGAAAACUCUGGGCUUAACCCAGAGCCUGCACCCGAUACUGCUGUGACUAGAGUUCGGUAGGGGAGCGGGGAAUUCCUGGUGUAGCGGUGAAAUGCGCAGAUAUCAGGAGGAACACCGAUGGCGAAGGCACCGCUCUGGGCCGAAACUGACGCUGAGGAGCGAAAGCAUGGGUAGCAAACAGGAUUAGAUACCCUGGUAGUCCAUGCCGUAAACGUUGGGCACUAGGUGUGGGUUCCAAUCAACGGAAUCCGCGCCGUCGCUAACGCAUUAAGUGCCCCGCCUGGGGAGGUACGGUCGCGAGACGAAACGUAACGUAAGAAGUUAGAGUCGUUGAGACGNGCCGACGGCGACGACGAGGGAGGAGG
rnacentral:rRNA from 1 species